ACUCCUACGGAGGCAGGCAGCAGUGGGGAAUAUUGCACAAUGGGCGCAAGCCUGAUGCAGCCAUGCCGCGUGUGUGAAGAAGGCCUUCGGGUUGUAAAGCACUUUCAGCGAGGAGGAAGGUGGUGAACUUAAUACGUUCAUCAAUUGACGUUACUCGCAGAAGAAGCACCGGCUAACUCCGUGCCAGCAGCCGCGGUAAU
rnacentral:rRNA from 1 species